ACAUCUGCUGAUUAAUUUUCUCCUUGAGAAAUACAGUUUAAUUAUUUACGUGGACCUAAACCUUUAGUAGCAAAGAUGUAUAUGGGAAAUUCCCUCCAGCAUAACAUUCAUAGUGGAUUGCUUCUCUUUCUGGCUGUUAGCUACAUCAGGAAGGUGAGGAAACAAAGCUGAAGGUAAAGUGAAUUGCCAGGGGUCACAUGUCAACCAAAUUGAAGACCAAAAACUGGAACCCAGUUUUUCAAAAGAAGCAAUGGCUUACAUGGGACAUAGCAGCCAUCCAAGGAAAUACAAGAAUAGAAGGUGGGACUGGAGGUGCAUUCUGCUGAGAGGUGCUCAAGUGAGAAAAGCUGAUAAGAACUAAGUGAGCCUGGACUAAAAAGAAUCCUAUAGAACGAAGCUCUACAAUGAGAGGGCCCAUGUUUGUCCUGUUCACUGUAUCUCCUAUAACUCACAUAUACAAAAUAUCCAAAACAUUUUUUUCCAAUAAGAGAAUGAAAAAUUACUAAGUAAUUUUUUAAGAACUAGCUCAGCUCUAGGCUACAUGGAGUGGUAUUUCUAGAAAGUUCUUUGUUCUAUGGCCCAUAUCACCAGGGUAAGAGACUAGAUAAGCCUUUAGGGAAGGGAGGGGAAAAAUGAUAGUUAGCAAUAGACAUACACACGUUACAAAUAGCACAAGAAUUAUAAUUUUGGGGGGAUGCUAUAAUAAUCAAAAGGAUACUGAAUAAAGCCUGAAGCCAACAAGGAAGAG
rnacentral:lncRNA from 1 species